AUUGAACGCUGGCGGCAUGCCUUACACAUGCAAGUCGAACGGCAGCGGACCUUCGGGUGCCGGCGAGUGGCGAACGGGUGAGUAAUACAUGGGAAUCUGCCCUGUAGUGGGGGAUAACUCUGGGAAACUGGAGGUAAUACCGCAUACGUCCUACGGGAGAAAGCGGGGGAUCUUCGGACCUCGCGCUACAGGAGGAGCCCAUGUCCGAUUAGCUAGUUGGUGAGGUAAAGGCUCACCAAGGCGACGAUCGGUAACUGGUCUGAGAGGAUGGUCAGUCACACUGGAACUGAGACACGGUCCAGACUCCUACGGGAGGCAGCAGUGGGGAAUAUUGGACAAAU
rnacentral:rRNA from 1 species